ACCGGUGAGUACACCGGAAUUGCCAGGACGACCGGGUCCUUUCUUGGAUCAACCCGCUCAAUGCCUGGAGAUUUGGGCGUGCCCCCGCGAGACUGCUAGCCGAGUAGCGUUGGGUUGCGAAAGGCCUUGUGGUACUGCCUGAUAGGGUGCUUGCGAGUGCCCCGGGAGGU
rnacentral:other from 1 species